AUCGACGUUUCAGCCCCAAUCUGGGCUUUCCUCAGGAUCAGAGAAACAAAAAAUACUUUGUUUCUCUGAUCCUGAGGAAAGCCCAGAUUGGGGCUGAAACGUC